UACAGAGGGGGCAAGCGUUGUUCGGAAUUACUGGGCGUAAAGGGCGCGUAGGCGGCCUGCUAAGUCGAACGUGAAAUCCCCGGGCUCAACCCGGGAACUGCGUCCGAUACUGGAAGGCUAGAAUCCGGGAGAGGGAUGCGGAAUUCCAGGUGUAGCGGUGAAAUGCGUAGAUAUCUGGAGGAACACCGGUGGCGAAGGCGGCAUCCUGGACCGGUAUUGACGCUGAGGCGCGAAAGCCAGGGGAGCAAACGGG
rnacentral:rRNA from 1 species